rnacentral:rRNA from 1 species
UGCAGUCGAACGAAGCACCUAGACCUGACUUUUUCGGAACGACGGACUUUGUGACUUAGUGGCAAACGGGUGAGUAACACGUGGGUAAUCCGCCCCCAAGUACGGAACAACAGUUGGAAACGACUGCUAAUACCGUAUGUGCUCUACGGAGUAAAGAUUCAUCGCUUGGGGAUGAGCCCGCGGCACAUCAGCUAGUUGGUGGGGUAAAGGCCUACCAAGGCAACGACGUGUAGCCGACCUGAGAGGGUGACCGGCCACAGGGGUACUGAGACACGGACCCCACUCCUACGGGAGGCAGCAGUUAGGAAUCUUCCACAAUGGGCGCAAGCCUGAUGGAGCGACACUGCAUGAGGGAUGAAGGUUCUAGGAUCGUAAACCUCUGAACCAGGGACGAUAAUGACGGUACCUGGGUAAUAGCACCGGCUAACUCCGUGCCAGCAGCCGCGGUAAUACGGAGGGUGCGAGCGUUAUCCGGAAUCACUGGGCGUAAAGGGCGUGUAGGCGGUUUAUUAAGUCUGAUGUUAAAGACCAGAGCUCAACUCUGACACGGCGUUGGAUACUGAUAAACUAGACCACUGGAGAGGCAAGUAGAAUUACCAGUGUAGCGGUGGAAUGCGUAGAUACUGGUAGGAAUACCCAUGGCGAAGGCAGCUUGCUAGACAGAGGGUGACGCUAAGGCGCGAAAGUGUGGGGAGCAAACCGGAUUAGAUACCCGGGUAGUCCACACCCUAAACGAUGCAUACUUGGUGUUGGUGGUGACCAUCAGCGCCGGAGCAAACGCGUUAAGUAUGCCGCCUGGGGAGUACGGCCGCAAGGUUGAAACUCAAAGGAAUUGACGGGUUCCCCGCACAGCGGUGG